UACAGAGGGUGCGAGCGUUGUCCGGAAUCACUGGGCGUAAAGGGCGCGUAGGCGGUCUGCUAAGCGUGUGGUGAAAGCUCGGGGCUCAACCCCGAGUCGGCCGUGCGAACUGGUGGACUGGAGCAUGUCAGAGGCAGGCGGAAUUCCGGGUGUAGCGGUGGAAUGCGUAGAGAUCCGGAAGAACACCGGUGGCGAAGGCGGCCUGCUGGGACAUUGCUGACGCUGAGGCGCGACAGCGUGGGGAGCAAACAGG
rnacentral:rRNA from 1 species